GGGCAAUCAGAGCUGAUCAACACUAUAACAUCAUGACAACAUCAAACAGCUGUUCAGGUCAGAGGUCACCUGAGUGUCCCCACAGAGACAGAGCUGUGUGUGUGUGUGUGUGUGUGUAUCAGUGUUACAUCACUGUGACCUUUGACCUCUGAGUAUUUACAGCCUGUUCAGCAGCAGCUAUUUAAAUCAGAUUAACACACACACACACAUACACACAGCUCUAAUGAACCAAUCAGCAGCAGCCUCCAGGUCAGAUGAGGAAACAGCUUCAGAAUAAGUGAUACACGUAAGGCUUUAUUUAAGGGAUUAUUUUAAGGAGUUUUAAAUUAAAAUCAGCCUCAGUAUUUCUGUCAGUUUAAGGGAUUUCAAAAACCCUUAACAUCUUCCAGUCAGCUGGUGGAUCUGCUGUUUUCAGCUGGAGCAGGUUAAGUGAAGAGUUAAGGUCUUUUUAAAUGUAAAUGAAUAAUGAGGGGUUUGAGUUUUUCAAAAUAAAAGACGUUCAGAAUGACCUCAUCCUGCAGGGGGCGGGGUUAUGAGCAGUUCUGGACUGUGAUUAGCAGGUUGUGGUGGCGGUGAUCCAGCACCGGUCCUGCUGGUCAAAGGAGCUGGACCUGGACCGGGGAGACCUGAUCCAGGUUCUGUUUAAGGAGGACGAGUCCUGGUGGUUUGGACGGCUGCCGAACGGAGAGGAAGGUUAUUUCCCUGCGGCCUGUGUGGAGCCGCUGCAGGGCGGAGACUCAGCCAGAGCCACGCCCACUCUGCUCAGGAGGGGGUCGGUGCCAGUGGUGGUGACGCCCACAGGCGCCCCCUGUGGCUGCACCAGCGGUCACUCGACUCUGAAGCUGCUCAGGAAGAACAGCAUCCGCCGCCCGCUGGGACUCGAUGGGUCUUCGGUGGUGGUGGGGGUGUCGGGUGGGUCAGCGGCUCCUCCUCACGGCUCCCCCAGCCUCCUCCACCGAGUCCUGGCUAAGUCCAGGAGGAAGAGCUGCCCCCACCUCCCCCACCCUCCUCUGGACGCCGGCUCCGUCAACACCGCCUUCCAGCCGGACUAGACUGAAGCAGCUGACCUGAGACCAGAUUCUGAUCCACCUGUUUCUGAUCCUGAACCCAGUUAUCAGAGUCAGGUCUCUGUCACUGCUCAGUCUCUGAUGCUGUGUCCAGGUGCAGUCUCAGGUAGAGGUCUUCAUGGGUCCUAAAGUCUGAACCCCAACAGAUCUGGAAAUGUAGCACCCAGAACCGAACCAGACCAGUCCCUUACUUGAACUGGACCUGAAUCCGGCACAGAGACACAGACCUGAUCAGCAGCUGUUCACAGGUUAACAAACGCCAUGUCUUUACCUCUGACCUCUGACCCUGAGUGCAAUAACACAUGUUGACAGACCAGGUCCCAGGUCAGGUCUCAGGUCCUCAGGUCUGGGUGAACUAGUCUGAGGCUUCUGCUGAGCUCAGGUCCGAGUUAACCAGGUGAGAUCUGAGCAGAAUCUCAGUCCUUGGUUUCUGAGACAGAGUCCUGCUCAGGUCACCCAGGUCAUCUCUGAGGUCAUCUCCAAGUCCGAGUGUAGUCCUGAGAGUCUCGGUCUCUGAUGAGUCAGUUCAGUCCAGUUUCUGAUGUGAAAGAAAAACCUUCCGAGAACAGCUGCAGGACCAGAGUCUGAAUCUGUGUCAGGUUCAGGGUUUAGAUCAGGUGUGAACCUGACCUCUGACCUUUACACCUGUAGAAUAAUGAAUCCAAACAGACACAGAGUCUCUGACGUUUAUUACACAUCACACCU